UUACGGUCACAUCACGCCGAAACACCUCUUCUCGUACGAUCACGGAAGUUAAGACAUGUCGAGCGAGGGCAAUAUCUAGAUGGCUGACCACCCCGAAAUUGAAGGUGUUGUAAU